rnacentral:rRNA from 1 species
UCCAGAGGUCUCAAGCGUUGUUCGGAUUCAUUGGGCGUAAAGGGUGCGUAGGUGGCGCCGUAAGUCAGGUGUGAAAUUUCGGAGCUUAACUCCGAAACUGCAUUUGAUACUGCGGUGCUUGAGGACUGGAGAGGAGACUGGAAUUUACGGUGUAGCAGUGAAAUGCGUAGAGAUCGUAAGGAAGACCAGUGGCGAAGGCGGGUCUCUGGACAGUUCCUGACACUGAGGCACGAAGGCCAGGGGAGCAAACGGG